AAAUUUGAAUUAAAAAGGUUAACAGGGACCAUUUGGUGGAUUUUAAAAUAUGACAAAAAAAAUUGGUUAAUUUCACCGAUAGAGAAUAAGAUUUUGGUGGUUUUCCCUUUAUUUUGUCAGGUUUCUAAACUCCACAAAAGUGACAGGAUUAUUUUUUUUAUAUUAGAUUUUAGAUUCCAAAGAGAUAAGUAAUAAACUAAUAAUAUUAAAUAUUAAUUGUUGUCGCUUGUAAAAAAUAAAUUGAUUUUAUCUCGCAUUUAUUUGAAGAAAGAUAUAGCAUUAACCUUAGUACCCUUUACCAAAACUUCGAAAACAAUAAUUAGGAAACACCCAACUUCUUAGCUAUUUUAGCUUUGAAGCCAUAAAACCAAUAAGCAAUAAACCAAGCCUGAGAACUGUUUAUCAUAAAAUUUGGGGCAAUUUAGUUCUAAUUUUACUUGAUAAGUUACCAAAAAGUUCAGAUACCCACUUAAUCAUUAUUUGUUAGUAUCAAAUCCUUUGGGACACUGUAUGGUGUUGUUUACCAAUCUUUCUCAAUUUUCAGACAAGUAAAAAUAUGUUUAGUCUCUAUAUUUUGAAGUUAGUACUUAUUUAGUCCCUGUAUUUUUUAAAAUAUCUCAUUUACUCCCUGCCGUUAAAUUGUCGACACUUUUGCCAUUACUUUUAAUUUCUUUUGGCUUAUUUUUAUAGUAUUACUCUCUCACAAUACCAUAUCUUU
rnacentral:lncRNA from 1 species